CACGUACCGUUAUGGGCUGCUGUAAGAAGAAAGACAGGAAGGUUCAGGGUGAAGCUAUGAAUUAUACAUGGCAAUGUAUUAAGGCUCGGACCUCAUUGUACAGCUUGGAGGAAGAGAUGGGAGCCAGAAAGGAAGUGUACUCCCCGGGGAUGCUCACACCAUCAUCUGCACAGCAGGAGAGUCAAAUUAGUUCCAGAGGGAGGGAAAUGCAUACAGCUUUAUCCGCCGGUCGGCCUGCUUGGCUGCCCGCAGGGAAGCGUUCACCAGGGGUCCCCGUCCUGCUCCCAGCACCAUCAGUACCCUAAGAAAGAAAGGGAAGAGUCAAGCAGACUUGGCAUAUACAGAUAUAGGAGGUAAGAGAAGCCACACCCAUCCCAGGAUUCUCAUGGACUCACCCACUGCAAUCCUCUUACUAUAGUCACACAAAGUCCGGAAGUUGUGCCACCUGUUCAGUCAAAUACAGAAAAGUACAGUAAACUAGAUAUGGCCGACCAAUCACCACAGCUCAAGGAGACCUCCCUACAGGUUGCACCCUGUACUUCCCCUCACCCUAUCCCUUGCACCCUGGUACAGCAGCAAAGGGAGACAUACCACAUCCACGUUUUCUCCUCCCCACUGUACUCCUCUGUGUGUGUAGUUGGUGCAUUCUCAAUUAUAUCAUCUCUCAGGUCCUCUGGUGCCACCAAGGGUACCCGCAUCCAGAACUGCACAUGAACAGUC
rnacentral:lncRNA from 1 species